ACGAACGCUGGCGGCGUGCUUAACACAUGCAAGUCGAACGGAAAGGCCCUGCUUUUGUGGGGUGCUCGAGUGGCGAACGGGUGAGUAACACGUGAGUAACCUGCCCUUGACUUUGGGAUAACUUCAGGAAACUGGGGCUAAUACCGGAUAGGAGCUCCUGCUGCAUGGUGGGGGUUGGAAAGUUUCGGCGGUUGGGGAUGGACUCGCGGCUUAUCAGCUUGUUGGUGGGGUAGUGGCUUACCCAGGCUUUGACGGGUAGCCGGCCUGAGAGGGUGACCGGCCACAUUGGGACUGAGAUACGGACCAGACGCCUACGGGAGGCAGCAGUGGGGAAUAUUGCACAAUGGGCGGAAGCCUGAUGCAGCAACGCCGCGUGCGGGAUGACGGCCUUCGGGUUGUAAACCGCUUUCGCCUGUGACGAAGCGUGAGUGACGGUAAUGGGUAAAGAAGCACCGGCUAACUACGUG
rnacentral:rRNA from 1 species